rnacentral:rRNA from 1 species
UGGCGAACGGGUGAGUAACACGUGGGUGAUCUGCCCUGCACUCUGGGAUAAGCCUGGGAAACUGGGUCUAAUACCGGAUAGGACCAUGCUUUAGUGUGUGUGGUGGAAAGUUUUUUCGGUGUAGGAUGAGCCCGCGGCCUAUCAGCUUGUUGGUGGGGUAAUGGCCUACCAAGGCGGCGACGGGUAGCCGGCCUGAGAGGGUGUACGGCCACAUUGGGACUGAGAUACGGCCCAG